UGACACUUACUGAGCCCCCUGCCUGCCGUGUACAGUGACCCCAUGUUUAUAAUGGCUGUAAAUAAGACAUCAGGCCCAGCUGUGCUGAACGACCCUUCAGCGAACGCUAUGCAGUCCCGCUCGCCCUCAUCCGAAACUCUGUCCCAUCAUCUCAUGGUUCAUCGCUCUGGGCUGAAUUCAUGUCUUCAAAGAUGACAGAUUGCCCCCCCCCCCCCCAGAGGAGGGAGGGCUGUUUGGCUUUAUCCUUUCGGUCGUACUUUGCCAAAUUGUAAAAGUAGGUAGACUGCUAAAAAACACAAAGAACUCGGGCACAAAAAGAAACGUCUCCCGGGUGACCUCUGACCCGGACUCAAACCAAACCUGAAGGAGGUGGAUGUGGGGAGGAGCCAUCGAAGCUGUGACCCGGCACGGCCCUCUGUGAUUGGCUCGUCACAUCGCUUCUGCACCCAGGGCCGGCGCUCGGCAUAGGCGACCUGGGCGAUCGCCUAGGGCGGCAAAUGUGUUGGUGGCGCCCUCUGGUGGCGCCCUUAAUUAAUUAACAUAUACAAAACAAUCAACGUGGGCAGGUGGAACGCAGCCGCUGAGUUUACAGCCCCUACCCGCCCGACAUGAUGGCCUCCUGGCCACCGUGAGGCUCCGCACCCAGAGAGGAGCUUCUUUUGUCCCCCUGCAGGGCGGCGGUAGAGCUGCCUCCUUCUCUGCCACUCAGUAGCGUGUCCUUUCUCCGCACUCAGCCCUUUUGAAAGUUUCAGCAACCGCAAACACAACGCAGGGACUUUAUGCAAAACGACACGCGUGCUGGUGAACCGUGCCGCGGUGCGAGGUCCUCCUGGGCUCUGGAACUCUGGCGUUCCUUCCCCCCCUCCUCUCGGUGAGGGGCGGGGCAAGAGGCGUCCGCCCGCGCCUCGAGGCUUGCAGAGUGGGUGUGGUUCAUUGGUCUCCUCCACCUUGCUGCUCCAGGGCUCCGUCUGACUGCUUCCUGCGGAGACAGGAAGUGAAGCGUCGGCCUCUUCCCCAGUUGUCGGGCAGGUCGUCCACCUGUGGUUUGAGCACCGCUUUAUCGCCCCCCCCCUGCGCUCGAGGGAUGAGAUCCCGACGGCGCCCCAGCCAGGCAGAGGGGGAGGUGGGGGGGUCCUGUCUGAAGGGCGUCUGGCGGGUGGGGGACCUUCAGGUCCAGGCCGGGUGCUCCUUGAUUCGAUAACAAACGUUCACCAGACUGAGAGACACUGUCAACAUCAGGUUAAGCACUGCAUGGCGUCAUGGCUGCAUGUUUUCAACUCGAUUGCUUUUACAUGUCGUUUUCAUACUUGUUUUUAAAUAACAAAAACAUAAAUCACCGGAAUAAAAUCAAAUCAAGGGUUUGGAAAUGACGAAACAAAGAGCUCUUUGUGACGUGACGGACGUUUGAUGCACGCUGAGGCUUUCCCGGCCUAACGACAACCCAGGCCUCCGCGUGCUAGGCUAGGCUAGGCUAGGCUAGGUGUAUAUAGCAGUGUCCAGCCGACGGGAGGCCCGCUGCACCGAGUGUUGUGAACCGUGGGCCCCCAUUGGCUGUGGCGGUCCUCUGUUAAGAUAACGGUCAUUAAGAUGGCGGUCAUGUGUUAAGAUGGCGGUCAUGUGUUAAGAUGGCGGUCAUGUUUGAGGUGGCGGUCAUGUUUGAGGUGGCGGUCAUGUGUUAAGAUGGCGGUCAUGUGUUAAGAUGGCGGUCAUGUGUUAAGAUGGCGGUCAUGUGUUAAGAUGGCGGUCAUGUUUGAGGUGUCGGUCAUGUGUUAAGAUGGCGGUCAUGUGUUAAGAUGGCGGUCAUGUGUUAAGAUGGCGGUGCGUGUGUUAAGAUGGCGGUGGGUGUGAUAAGAUGGCGGUGGGUGUGAUAAGAUGGCGGUCAUGUGUUAAGAUGGCGGUGCGUGUGUUAAGAUGGCGGUGCUUGUGUUUAGAUGGGCGUGAGGCCGGCUGUGUGACAGUGUUGUUGACGCCAUGGGUCUAGGUGCUUGAGGCUGGGUCUAGGUGCUUGAGGCUGAGUAGAUGCUUGAGGCUAAGUGUAGGUGCUUGAGGCUGGGUCUAGGUGCUUGAGGCUGGGUCUAGGUGCUUAAGGCUUGGUCUAGGUGCUUGAGGCUAGGUGCUUGAGGCUUGGUCAAGGUGCUUGAGGCUAGGUGCUUGAGGCUUGGUCAAGGUGCUUGAGGCUAGGUGCUUGAGGCUUGGUCAAGGUGCUUGAGGCUAGGUGCUUGAGGCUAGGUCUAGGUGCUUGAGGCUGGGUCUGCUUGAGACUAGUCCACACAGCCAGCAGUGUUCUUUGAUGGGAGAGGAGAGAGAGAGAGAGAGAGAGAGAGAGAGAGAGAGAGAGAGAGAGAGAGAGAGAGAGAGAGAGAGAGAGAGAGAGAGAGAGAGAG
ensembl:lncRNA